UUCCAUCUCCUCUGUAAUACAGGAACUACCCAUGUAGGUUCUUUUUUUUCACACAGAUGAGUUUUCUCAGUUCCAGUUGAGUGAUUAUAUGUGUGUUACUGCCUUAGCCUGUCCUGUUGUGUGCGUCCAUUAAAAUUUAGGGCUGAGGUUCACAGCAGAUUUACACCCGGAUGUGUCCAAAAUUUUCUAGAUUCAUUUUAAAACAUUAAAACCACAGCGUGGGUGAAUAAAAAGCAUGGAGCAGUUUCUUAUUCUUGUGCUAAUGGCAGCGGGAACUCAUGCUCUGGUUCCAGUUGAUGAGACUACUUGUGACCUCAGGACGAGCACAUGUCCAUGCUCUCCUCUUCUUGAAGAAACUGUAUAUAUCCAAGUGAUGACUGAUGCUAAUGGCUGUCAACUGCAGUGUUUGAAGGUGCUUCCCACUGAGACAAAAACUGUGUUCAAUAUCAAGAAAGGAAAAACAACAAUAGACAAGGAAUUUAACAACAGACUAACAUUUCUAAUCAACAACGGGACAAUCAAGAUCACAAACGUGAGGAGGAGUGACUCAGGUCAAUACAGCAUUGAGGUCUUUAAUUCAGAUGGAGUCCAAGAGAAAAACAUUAAUUUCACCCUGGAUGUUAAAGACAAUGGAAACUUUGAAGGCAAGGCACUCUGGAACCUUGAAGGUAACUUACUCAUGAUUUUAUAUUUUUAAUAUUAUUAUACAGUUAAUCAGAAAUGUAAGCAUGUGGGAGUAGAACUAUUAAACACAGUACACAUCACUUGUGCAACUAAUGAUAGAAGAUGAAACAGAGAAAAUGCAGAGACAUGAAAAUGUAUCAUGUUUAAUGUUUUCGAUUUCUUGAGGAGAAUGAACAGAAUAUUUUUUGAUACAACAUCUUUGUAUCUGUUGGUAUUGUCAGUUAUUUUAGCCACACGAGGGCAGCUAUUCAUACCACAAUUUAGUUAUCUUUUUAUUUCUCAGUAACUACCACCUAAACUUAAAAGGCACACUAAAACUUUCCACUUGGUCACUGAUUAUUAUUAGCUGCACUAUAUGAGCACAUUAAG